UAUAACCGGCGAUACCCGAAUGGGGAAACCCAGUGUGACUCGUCACACUAUCAUUAACUGAAUCCAUAGGUUAAUGAGGCGAACCGGGGGAACUGAAACAUCUAAGUACCCCGAGGAAAAGAAAUCAACCGAGAUUCCCCCAGUAGCGGCGAGCGAACGGGGAGGAGCCCAGAGCCUGAAUCAGCAUGUGUGUUAGUGGAAGCGUCUGGAAAGGCGCGCGAUACAGGGUGACAGCCCCGUACACAAAAGCGCAUGUGCUGUGAGCUCGAUGAGUAGGGCGGGACACGUGGUAUCCUGUCUGAAUAUGGGGGGACCAUCCUCCAAGGCUAAAUACUCCUGACUGACCGAUAGUGAACCAGUACCGUGAGGGAAAGGCGAAAAGAACCCCGGCGAGGGGAGUGAAAAAGAACCUGAAACCGUGUACGUACAAGCAGUGGGAGCACCCUUUGGG
rnacentral:rRNA from 1 species